GUUACUGGCACGUCUCUAAGAGCCGGAGCUUGUUUAGCUCCAUCUCAGUGGUCUCUGUUUUUGGAGAUGGGCAUUAAGCAUGGCAGGGCUUCCAUAUUCCAUUGGUACAAGAAGGGAAAAGAAGAGAUGGGCAGCUACGCAUGAAGAGGGCUGUUUCAGAGAUUGGCCUUUUCAAUAGACUAUCAAUGUCUGGAAGGCAUUUGGAGAUGGAAGACUGGAGGUCAGAAGAAACACUGGGGCAGGAAAAGCAGAUUCAAGAAACAUUCAGCAUAGACAUUAAUAAUUAAAUCCAUAGUAGCUGAUAAGAUAACUAAGUGAAGCCAUAUCUUUUUAGUGACUGCCUGAAAGCCAUUGGAAACAUCUUUUACUCCUCCAAGCUGUUGCCAACAUCUCUCAAAUAUGACCCUUUCACCCCCCCCCCCCCCCGACAGUCACCUUUUUAGGGUAGGCCCUCAUUCCCUCACGUUUUGAUUACCGAAAUAACCUACUGGUCUCCAAUUCCCCCCCAACUCCAAUCAAAGUGAUUUUCCUAACGAACAGAUCCAAUCCUGUCAUUCCCCCUACUCAAUAAAGGCCAGUGGCUUCCUCUUGCUUCUAGGGGCAAAUACAAAA